GGACGAUUAGCUCAGUUGGUUAGAGCAUCGCUUUUACACAGCGGGGGUCGGGGGUUCAAAUCCCUCAUCGUCCACCA
rnacentral:tRNA from 1 species